GCUGCUUCCACCCUGGCCCUGUUUUAGCUAGUUCUCACUUUGGUCCAGUGUCCGAGCCCUGCCUCUGGAGUCAAGUCCCGCCUCCUACCUUACUUGCUUCCAGAUACCUCAAGAGUGAGAUUCUUUGAGAAGAAUAACUCAAGAAUUUAGGGAGGUCCGCUAACCCCUCUGUCCACCUGCUCCUCUCAGCUGGCCCUGCCUUAAUCACAGCAACCAGAGAAAACUUCCAAGAGAGGAGCCCAAAGUUAACUUAAUAAACUCUUUGGUGUUUAUCAGUCUGCUCUCUCAGCAGCCCCAUGUUGUCAGCAUCCCUCAUACAUCAGCAUAAACCUCUUGCUCCAGGCUCCAAAACCGCAGAAAAUAUCUAUUCAC
rnacentral:lncRNA from 1 species